rnacentral:tRNA from 1 species
GGAGGGAUAGCUCAAUUGGAAGAGUACCGGCCAGACACGCCGGCGAUGCAGGUUCGAUGCCAGCUCCCUUCG